GGGGGUUGAAACUCAAGGAUCACUGCGGUCCUUUUCAACCCAGGCCAUUCUAUCAUUCUAAUUUUCAUACAGACUUCAUACAGAUUAAAUAGAAUUCUGUUAAUGGAAAACAUUGUUAAUGGAAAAUAUUUAUGCCCUUAGUUGAUAGAAUUUACAAGUUCUGCUGUGUCUUUUUCUUUUUUUCCCUAUAAUCUUCAUUCCCUCCCUAUUAAGGAAUGGACUUAAACACUUCGGAAGGUAAGAAGUCAGUAUAUGAAAUAGCAAAUAAAAGGCAUCUUCAUUCAGAAGGUUCAGGCGAGAGAGAUAAAUGGAAUUUGUGGCCCUCAAUCUAAGAAAGUACACAAGGUAAUAGCUGCCAAAGGCAAGGGAUGCCUUGCUGGCAAAGCUAUGCAGGUCUAUGGCCAGCAGCCCGAUCUCAGCUAUUAUAAACACAGCUCUGAUAAAUGCUUAUAAACAUCUGAAGGGAGAGGGGAGGCAAAUGGUUGAGGCCAGGCUCUUCUCAGUGGUGUGUAGCGAUAGCACAAGGAGCAGCAGCCUAAAACUUGGACGUCAUAGAAUGUUCUGUACUAAGGUGUGGAAGAACUUCUAUACAGUGAGGGUGACAGAGCACUGGUAGAGAGUGGUUGUGGAGUCUCCUUCCAUGGAAACGUUCAAGACCUGUCUGGACACCUACAUGCGCAACCCAUUGUAGGAUACUUGCCUUGACAGGGGGUCAGACUUGAUCUCUUGAGGUUCCUUCCAACCACUGUGAUUCUGUGAUUAGCGGACUUUGUCAGUACUUAAGAUCCCCAAGAUCUCUGUCAGAAUGGAACUUACUUACUCUGUACAUUGCUUGAGUUGAUGCACCUUUAUGCAAUUUAAGGAAUUAGGAGCAGAGUUUUGAGGCUCAAGCGAGACUGAAUGGGCAGUGUCCGACAUCUCCAGUGAGGUUUGAGAUAGUGUACUUGGGCAUCUGCCUGAGCUUGGAUUUGUGGCCAGGGCAGAGGAGUUGAGUGCCCCAGCAACAAACCAACAUAUCCUGGAUUCCUUUGCCACUGUGAUGCUCUUCUCUCCAGUGAUGGGGUUCAAUAAUGUGCCUUUGGGGUGAGUCCUGAGCCACAUCCCACACUAUCUGUUAGCCAGGAGCCAAACCCUUUAACAGAUAUAUGCCGAAGUCUGCUGCUGCCUCUGAUCCUGGAGGAGCUGAGCGAGAUUAAGUCAUAGGCACACAGACUCAAUUAUCAGCCUGCAGAACACUGCUCUCCCCAUCAGAUUUAAAACCUCUGUAGUUUUAUUUCAUACAAAAGCAAAUCGUGUCUCAUCGUGCCUGAUAAAUGUAUCCUACUGCCCUGUGUACUUCUGUAAGAUGCUGCAGGAAAUGCCCCUGGCAGGUUGCCUGGGAGGUUCCUUAGAGCAGGCUCGCUGUCUCCCUCUGAGCUGCUGUGUGCUGCCUCUCGCUGGAGCCUGCAAUUCAAUAAGCUCGCUGCAGCUGGCACCAAUGUGGGGACCAUUGUGCGUAUGAGAAACCACUCACUCCCCAGGGGGUUUGGCUGUGGUUAUGAGUUUUAGUGGAAUUUGCACUGAGUUUCCAUAGAGCUUCAUGUUAGUUUUUUACAUCCAGCAUGUCAGAUGUGGCAUGCAGUCCCUCACUGCGCCAAUUCACAAAUCAACACGUACAUGGAUCAGUGUGCUGAUGCUUAAGUGUGAUGUGGAUGAGGCUCUGGGCCCUCUGAUCUAGCUGUGGCGUUCACUGCAGGGGAGCUGGACCAGAUGACCCUCAGAGGGUCUUUCCAACUCUAAGGACUUCAGCAUUCUCAGGGUGAAAGUCGGAGCGACCACUUUCAAGGAGGAGAAAAGGGCCCAUGUUGUCAGUGAGGCAUCCUUCUAACAUCGCCCUUCGUUCCACCAAACCUUUUGGAAGAAGGAGCAUGAGCACAGCCACUGGUGAAUUACCAACACUUACUUACCUUCUUCCUAUGGCCUGCUUGGACUCACUCAAUAUAAGACAGUCCCUUAUGUCAUUAUUCAUCCCACAACUGACGUGUGGGACUUCUUUGAUUUACAAAUGGAAGAAAAUUCACGUUUCGGUGAAAAAACUCCAUUAUUUUAUUUGGUACAAAAUGAAACUGAAAAAAAAAAAAAGUCUGGCUUGCGUGAUUUAGGAAUGCGGUCAUUUACAAGCAAGUUGUCUUCUCUCUUUAAAUAGAAUGGAAGCAGCAAGUCUGCAUGACAACGGCACGUUAAUCACACUCAACGCUCUACAGAAUGAAGCUACAAGAAGCAAGGCUGCUGCCAGCUCUCAUCACAACAGCGAGGCGCUGGGGAAAGACCCUUGGCUCUCCCCUAUGCUCACUGUCGCUUUGCAUUGAGGCAGCUCCUGUACAUGUGCAGUGGCCCAUAUGUUCCCCUCCUGCUAAAGGCAAGAGAGGAGUCAAUCUCCAUCGUUCUGUACCUAUGGAUGGCUUAUGGAACAUUAGUGGGCAUCAUUUCAAAAUGACCACUUAUCUGACAUGACUUAGAGGGGGUUUCAAGGAAGACAGCUUUCUAAAGCAUCGUACUGAUUUUUGGCUACAAGGCAGAUAAGCAUGGCCAGCUGUUUGGGAUGUCCCACCUCACGUUCCCCAAACACUUUGUGUGCAGCAGAGACCAAAACCAAGGAAGAAAUAGAACAAAGAAACAUGCUUACAUCAGCAAUACCAAUAAAGGCAGAGCACCAGAUUACAAUGAACCUCCAAUGGAAACAGCACGGAAGAACUUCACGCCUGCAUUUGGAUUACAGAUCCAGCUGCCAAACCUCGAGCUUCUUCUUAGCACCAAUCACAACUCUGCAGCCAGAUUUGCAAUGGAAGAAGGGUAUGGUAGCCUUAAAAAAAUUGAAUACAAGCCAAAGGGGCUCCUGUAGUGACUGUGUUUGAUGUCCAGUUGUACUUUUAAAGAAAAACCCUAUUUGUUUAGAGGCACAGCUGCUGAAGAAUGGCAGACUGCUACAAACCCCACAACAUCUGCCUGCACUGACACAGCUUACACUGCACCUCCUCCGGAGGCUCUGCCAGCAUCAUGCUGACUUGUAAGAGCACUAUUUAAAUCCACACAUACAUAAAAGUUUGGGAGUAGCACAGAAUUGGCCAUUUCAGGCUUCUGAGAUGGCUCAGUUGAGAUAUUUUUCCAGUAUUAAAUGGUUACUUGUUUGUUUAAAGACAAAACCAACAAGAAAUGGUAUGGCAAUGGAUUCAGGGUGUGAUUUGUUUCAACUAAUGAUAGUUAUAUGGAAGAAUAAUGAUUACACUUUAGUUUCUUGCAAGCAGUAGAAAAAAACAGAAGGUUCCAAAAUGCUGGCUAUUACUAAACCCACCACUCCUAUCCUAGCAGGCUAAGGAAGGGCAUCUAACAGAAUUACCCACCUACUUAUUAAAGAAACAGCAAUGUUACCAAGAACAGUUCACUAAAUAUGCAGAACUACGUUCUCUAGCGAGAGUUUAUUGCAAAACCAGAAAAGAGACAGCAAAAUUGAAGUCUAUCAUUCACUGCAGGUUUGUACCGCUCGUCCCAGUUUCAGGCACUCGCACGCGCUCACACACACACUGUACACAGAGAGCUGCUAACACAUUUGAGUUCCCAGUCUCACAAGCAACCUGAAAACAUUUCAGUAAAAAGUUAAAAUGAGGUCUCUUACCACAAGGACUAUAAAAUCCCCCCCCACACACACCCCACCCUUCACUACCAUAGAAUUUCUAAGUUCUGGAUUCUAAAAACCAUACAUAAAAAGGAAGAGCUAUUUUCAGUAGCACAAAGACCACCUUAAACGUACCAAAGUCAAUCUAAGGAGUCAAUGCGACUGAAAAAGAAUGAAACGAAGACCUGCAUCACACACCACCAGUGUUUCAAUUAACACUGCUGAUGAGCUCUAAGUCUCUGAACAUGGAAGAGCGUCACUCGUUUCUGAUUUACUUCUAAGUUCCAAGUUAGAUAAAAAACAGUCGCAGCAAUUCCUCUGAGCUGCAGCUUUGUGUGAAAAAGUCCCUUU